UAAGUUUUGCAAUGUUCGUGGAAGGACGCGUUCGUUCUAAGUGGUGUGCCAAAAUGAAAAGACAAUGCCCAAGACGAAGGCUUUGAUAGUUGACGACAAAAAAGAAGAAAACAAAAACCUAAAGCAAACAGGCUAUAAGCCAACAUCAACGAGAUGUAGUUGGUGCAGACAAAAAACAAGAAUUUGUUCUUUUUGCCAAUAAAAGAUAAUCAAAGAUUUAUAAUAAAGUGUAUGUACUAGUGUUUUAAAACAAAAACCAAAAAAAUUAUUGUGUGGAAUGUCCAAAAGAAAUUCCAAAACAAAACAUAAGUGUGUGUGUGUGUGUGCAGUACAAUAAAACAAAAUAAAGUGAAAUGUGAAUGAAAGUAAAAGUGUAUUAAAUAAGCAAAAUUAUUGAAUCAUAAAAAUACAACGAAUAGCCAGAAGAAUAAAACAAAUACAUCUUCCUUUUGUUAAAUGUGUGAAAAAUUACAUAAAAAUCAGCAUUGUCUAUGAUCUACAAGGCAUUUCCUCAAGUGUUAAUAAAAAUGUUGGUCCAUUUGCAUGAUGAAAUGGCGCUUCAGCCCCACAAAAGAGCCUUCAAAGAGUGUCGUAAAAGUGAAUUGUGUUUUUAUUGUAUUUCUGGCUGCUCUACACAUGGGCCCUAAAAUAUUUUGCCGCUAUAUGAACAAGAAUAAGCAUCCUUUAGAGUUUGUUACUAAUUCGAAUUGAAAAUGUGUCGAAAAAUAAAAUGCCGUACAUACAAAAUCUAUUGAAAUCAAAUCACUCCAAUUAAAAUAUUCACACGAUUUGAAGAGAGUGAAAUGCCAAGAGAAGGUAAAAGCAAACAAAAACAAAAAAAGCCAGUAAAUGUGAAUGAAUUACAGUAAUUGCAACGCCAAUUAAUUGACAUAACUAGCCGAGUUUGUAAAACAUUUCGAAUUCCAACAGCCAAUGGGUGAGCGUUGCUAGAAUUUACAUAAAAUUGCAAAUUACAGUGAAAACAAAAACGAAAAAGGAUCAAGUCACCAGCCAAACAGCCAGCAGUCAGCCAGCCGCCUGAAUGCAA